GGGGAUAUAGCUCAGUUGGUAGAGUGCUUGUCUUGCAUGCACAAGGCCCUGGGUUUGAUCCCCAGCACCACCA
rnacentral:tRNA from 1 species